UGUGAAUGACCCCCUUCCAGAGCCAAAAUCACCAGGGAUGGAGGAGGGGUCUUGGGUACU
ensembl:miRNA MIR4534 microRNA 4534